rnacentral:rRNA from 1 species
UACAGAGGGUGCGAGCGUUGUCCGGAAUCACUGGGCGUAAAGGGCGCGUAGGCGGCCCCUUAAGCGGGCGGUGAAAGCCCGGGGCUCAACCCCGGGUCGGCCGUGCGGACUGGGGGGCUGGAGCACGUCAGAGGCAGGCGGAAUUCCGGGUGUAGCGGUGGAAUGCGUAGAGAUCCGGAAGAACACCGGUGGCGAAGGCGGCCUGCUGGGACGUGGCUGACGCUGAGGCGCGACAGCGUGGGGAGCAAACAGGAUUAGAUACCCCCGUAGUCC